UACGUAGGGGGCAAGCGUUGUUCGGAUUUAUUGGGCGUAAAGAGCUCGUAGGCGGCUCGGUAAGUCGGAUGUGAAACCUCCAGGCUCAACCUGGAGACGCCAUCUGAUACUGCCGUGGCUUGAGUCCGGUAGAGGAGCAGGGAAUUCCUGGUGUAGCGGUGAAAUGCGCAGAUAUCAGGAGGAACACCAGCGGCGAAGGCGCUGCUCUGGGCCGGUACUGACGCUGAGGAGCGAAAGCGUGGGGAGCGAACAGG
rnacentral:rRNA from 1 species